CUUCCGUAGGUUGAACCUGCGGAAGGAUCAUUAAAGAGACGUUUGCCCUUCGGGGUAUACCUCCCACCCUUUGUUUAUUAUACCUUUGUUGCUUUGGCGGGCCCGUCCUCGGACCACCGGCUUCGGCUGGUCAGUGCCCGCCAGAGGACCUAAAACUCUGUUUGUUCAUAUUGUCUGAGUACUAUAUAAUAGUUAAAACUUUCAACAACGGAUCUCUUGGUUCUGGCAUCGAUGAAGAACGCAGCGAAAUGCGAUAAGUAAUGUGAAUUGCAGAAUUCAGUGAAUCAUCGAAUCUUUGAACGCACAUUGCGCCCCCUGGUAUUCCGGGGGGCAUGCCUGUUCGAGCGUCAUUACAACCCUCAAGCUCUGCUUGGUAUUGGGCUCUGCCGGUCCCGGCAGGCCUUAAAAUCAGUGGCGGUGCCAUUCGGCUUCAAGCGUAGUAAUUCUUCUCGCUUUGGAGACCCGGGUGCGUGCUUGCCAGCAACCCCC
rnacentral:rRNA from 1 species